AUUGAACGCUGGCGGCAGGCUUAACACAUGCAAGUCGAGCGGAGAUGAGGUGCUUGCACCUUAUCUUAGCGGCGGACGGGUGAGUAAUGCUAGGGAAUCUGCCUAUUAGUGGGGGACAACAUUCCGAAAGGAAUGCUAAUACCGCAUACGCCCUACGGGGGAAAGCAGGGGAUCUUCGGACCUUGCGCUAAUAGACGAGCCUAAGUCGGAUUAGCUAGUUGGUGGGGUAAAGGCCUACCAAGGCGACGAUCUGUAGCGGGUCUGAGAGGAUGAUCCGCCACACUGGGACUGAGACACGGCCCAGACUCCUACGGGAGGCAGCAGUGGGGAAUAUUGGACAAUGGGCGGAAGCCUGAUCCAGCCAUGCCGCGUGUGUGAAGAAGGCCUUUUGGUUGUAAAGCACUUUAAGCGAGGAGGAGGCUACCUGGAUUAAUACUCUAGGAUAGUGGACGUUACUCGCAGAAUAAGCACCGGCUAACUCUGUGCCAGCCGCCGCCGUAACAC
rnacentral:rRNA from 1 species